AACAUCGACCGUGUCAUUUCCGGUUAUCUACGAUCAAGAGUGUCAAAAGGACGGUUGUCAUGGAAGUCGAAAUCCGCUAAGGAGUGUGUAACAACUCACCUGCCGAAUCAACUAUCCCCGAAAAUGGAUGGCGCUGAAGCGCGCAACCUAUACCCGGCCGUCGGGGCAAGAGCCAGGCCUCGAUG
rfam:Brassica napus, WGS project CCCW01000000 data, contig: 27927